AUAACGGUCCUAAGGUAGCGAAAUUCCUUGUCAGGUAAGUUCUGACCCGCACGAAUGGUGUAAUGAUCUGGGCACUGUCUCAACAACCCGCCCGGCGAAAUUGUAGUACCGGUGAAGAUGCCGGUUACCCGCGACUAGACGGAAAGACCCCAUGGAGCUUUACUGUAGCCUAAUAUUGGAUUUCGGUAUUUCAUGUACAGGAUAGGUGGGAGACUAGGAAGCAUUGGCGUCAGCUGAUGUGGAGUCGACCUUGGGAUACCACUCUUGGAGUGCUGGAAUUCUAACCUGCGGCUUUGAAUCAAGUCGGGGGACAUUGUUAGGUGGGCAGUUUGACUGGGGCGGUCGCCUCCUAAACAGUAACGGAGGCGCUCAAAGGUUCGCUCAGCAUGGAUGGAAACCAUGCAUCAGAGUGUAAACGCAAAAGCGAGCCUAACUGCGAGAAUGACGGUUCGAGCAGUAACGAAAGUUGGAGUUAGUGAUCCGGCGGUAUGUGAGUGGAAAUGCCGUCGCUCAACGGAUAAAAGCUACCCUGGGGAUAACAGGCUGAUCUCCCCCAAGAGUCCACAUCGACGGGGAGGUUUGGCACCUCGAUGUCGGCUCAUCGCAUCCUGGGGCUGUAUUCGGUCCCAAGGGUUUGGCUGUUCGCCAAUUAAAGCGGUACGCGAGCUGGGUUCAGAACGUCGUGAGACAGUUCGGUCCCUAUCUGUCGUGGGCGCAGGAUAUUUGAAAGGCGCUGUCCCUAGUACGAGAGGACCGGGAUGGACGCACCUCUGGUGCACCAGUUGUCACGCCAGUGGCACAGCUGGGCAGCUAUGUGCGGAACGGAUAAACGCUGAAGGCAUCUAAGCGUGAAGCCGCCCUUAAGAUAAGAUAUCCCAUCCUUAAAGGAGUAAGACCCCCGGAAGACUACCGGGUUGAUAGGCUCAAAGUGUAAGUGUGGUAACACAUUCAGCUAGCGAGUACUAAUCGGUCGAGGGCUUAACCUU
rnacentral:rRNA from 1 species